rnacentral:rRNA from 1 species
GUCCACGCCGUAAACGAUGGGAACCUGACGUCGGUCUGCUCUGCGGAUCGGUGUCGUAGCUAACGCGCUAAGUUCCCCGCCUGGGGAGUACGGCCGCAAGGUUGAAACUCAAAGGAAUUGACGGGGCCCGCACAAGCGGUGGAGUAUGUGGUUUAAUUCGAUGCAACGCGAAGAACCUUACCUGGGCUUGACAUGCUAGGAAUCCUGCAGAGAUGCGGGAGUGCCCGCAAGGGAACCUAGACACAGGUGCUGCAUGGCUGUCGU